UGUUAAAAAUUUCAUCAAUUUGUACUGUUAAAACCUAAUAUGGUUAACGAAAUAAUCAAACAAUGACAUGUGUACCUCAUGCUGACAUUCAAAGAUCAUUUUUUAAUCAUAAAAUUGGAUGAAAUUUUUAACA
rfam:Gossypium raimondii Chr04_contig_30, whole genome shotgun sequence.